rfam:Erinaceus europaeus unplaced genomic scaffold scaffold00939, whole genome shotgun sequence
GGGUGUGAAGGCAAUCUGGCUGGGACAUCUGUCACCCCAUUGAUCUCCAGGGUUGAUUUGGCUGAUCUGGCUGACUAGGUAGGUGUCCCCAUCCUCCCUCACCGCUCUAUAUGUAUCCCUGCCGAAGCUGCGUGCUGCGUGGGAGAGGACAGCCUUGGCUGAAUAGAGAUAGACUGGUCUUCCGUUGAGGGUAUAGUUGUGCUUCCCUGCUAGAACCUCCAAACAAGCUCUCAAUAUAAUUUUGCAAAAUAGUAUUGAAAGUGUAUGGUUAUAUCAUAUUUGAAUUAAAUAAUUUUUCAGUUAGCUUUUCAAUUUAU